GGAGGGGGCAAGCGUUGUUCAGAAUUACUGGGCGUAAAGGGCGCGUAGGCGGCCUGCCAAGUCAGGGGUGAAAGGCCCGGGCUCAACCCGGGAACUGCCCUUGAAACUGGCAAGCUAGAGUCCGAGAGAGGAUGGCGGAAUUCCCAGUGUAGAGGUGAAAUUCGUAGAUAUUGGGAAGAACACCGGUGGCGAAGGCGGCCAUCUGGCUCGGUACUGACGCUGAGGCGCGAAAGCGUGGGGAGCAAACAGGAUUAGAUACCCUGGUAGUCCACGCCGUAAACGAUGUGUGCUAGACGUUGGAGGUCUUAGGCCUUCGGUGUCGCAGCUAACGCGUUAAGCACACCGCCUGGGGGAGUACGGCCGCAAGGUUA
rnacentral:rRNA from 1 species